CGGCACAUCUCGUAACGUCACUACUGGCUGCUGUUGACCUUGUUUUUGGAGUAAAACACGGUGGAAGCUGAAUUAGUGAGGAUGACUCCUGCUCCUGUCAUCUCUAAGCUCCUCACACAUCUUUACCUGCACAUGAGGAAAAUCACUCCUGUAGAAUGCAGAUGUUCAGAGGGAGAUGAUGCCACAUCUGGUCCAGCUGAUGGAAGGUCUUGAAGUUCUCUGACUGGCCUCGACUGAAGAUGGUCGUCUCACUGGAUUUAAGGUUCAGAUGCUCAGUAACAAACUCCACCAAUGUGCCAACAGGGAAGCUUUAGGUUUAUUAAAUGUUGCUAUGAAGGUAUCGCUGUUUUUCUUUGUGAAUGCAAUGUGCUCCAACUGAAAGUUGAAUUAGAACUUAGAAGUAAAUCCUUCCAGAUGAAAACUGUGAUGGUGGUGGAUUGUCAGACCGUAAUGUUGCAGCUCAAAGCAGCUUUUCUAGCUCAGUUCAUUCUGACAUUCAGCUAUGAAUCAACACAGCAGAUGGUGAUCCAUGCUGUGGAAGUCUCACAUCUCCUGAUUUCAUGGAGCUGCUUCACACUUUUUACACUAUUUAUUCACCAACACUUUAUUUAAUAAAAAUCCCAUCUAGUUUUUAUGAGGAAUGUGAUGUUUUAAUUUCUCUGUGAAUAACUGCAGUCUAAUGCAACAGCUGGAAUUGUAACAUCUGUCCUGAUAUUGAUUAUGAAGUAUUGAUCAGAAUACUUAUGGUUAGCAG